rnacentral:rRNA from 1 species
ACGAACGCUGGGCGGCGUGGAUAAGACAUGCAAGUCGAACGGGACUUUUUUCUGGUAGCAAUACCGGGAAAAGUUUAGUGGCGAACGGGUGCGUAACACGUGGGCAAUCUGCCUUAAAGUGGGGGAUAGCUCGGCGAAAGCCGAAUUAAUACCGCAUGUGAUCAGCCAAGACAUCUUGGCGACAUUAAAGCCGGGGCAACCUGGCGCUUUUAGAUGAGCCCGCGGCCUAUCAGCUAGUUGGUGGGGUAACGGCCCUACCAAGGCUACGACGGGUAGCUGGUCUGAGAGGACGACCAGCCACACUGGAACUGAGACACGGUCCAGACACCUACGGGUGGCAGCAGUCGAGGAUUUUUCUCAAUGGGGGAAACCCUGAAGGAGCGACGCCGGCGUGGGGGGAUGAAGGUUCUUCGGAUUGUAAACCCCUGUCAUCCGGGAUCAAUGCUUACGACCUAACACGUCGUAAGUUGCUAGUACCGGAAGAGGAAGCAGUGGCUAACUCUGUGCCAGCAAGCCGCGGUAAUACAGAGACUGCAAGCGUUGUUCGGAUUCAUUGGGCGUAAAGGGUGCGUAGGCGGUUUCGGUAAGUCGGAUGUGAAAUCUCGAGGCCUAACCUCGAUUGGUCAUCCGAAACUGCCGGGCUUGAGGACUGGAGAGGAGACUGGAAUGGUCGGUGUAGCGGUGAAAUGCGUAGAGAUCGACCAGAACACCGGUGGCGAAGGCGGGUCUCUGGACAGUUCCUGACGCUCAGGCACGAAAGCUAGGGGAGCAAACGGGAUUAGAUACCCCGGUAGUCCUAGCCCUAAAACGGUGUUCACUUGGUGUGCGGGGAGUCGACCCCCUGCGUGCCGCAGCUAACGCGAUAAGUGAACCGGCCUGGGAAGUACGGUCGCAAGAUUAAAACUCAAAGAAAUUGACGGGGGGCCCGCACAAGCGGUGGAGCAUGUGGCUUAAUUCGAUGCAACGCGAAGAAACCUUACCUGGCCUUGACAUCUAUCACGAAAAAUCGGUGAAAGCCGGUGACGGCCCGAAAGGGUGCGGGGGAUAGACAGGUGCUGCAUGGUUGUCGUCAGCUCGUGUCGUGAGAUGUUGGCUUAAGUGCCGCAACGAGCGCAACCCCUGUGUUUAGUUACUCCGCAAGGAGGUCUCUAAACAGACUGCCUCGCUUUAAACCGAGGAGGAAGGUGGGGAUGACGUCAAAUCAGUAUGGCCCUUACGGCCAGGGCUGCACACGUGCUACAAUGCUCGGUACAGAGGGACGCAAGACCGCGAGGUGGAGCCAAUCCCCACAAAAACCGAGCCCAGUUUCAGAUUGGAGUCUGCAACUCGACUCCAUGAAGCCGGAAUCGCUAGUAAUCGCAGAUCAGCAUGCUGCGGUGAAUACGUUUUCCGGGUCUUGUACACACCGGCCCGUCACAUCACGAAAGUGGGUUGUACUAGAAGCGCCAGAGCUAACCCGUAAGGGGGGCAUGGUGUAACGGUAUGAUUCAUGAUUGGGGUG